rnacentral:rRNA from 1 species
AGCGAACGCUGGCGGCAGGCCUAACACAUGCAAGUCGAGCGCCCCGCAAGGGGAGCGGCAGACGGGAGAGUAACACGUGGGAACGUACCCUUUGGUUCGGAACAACCCAGGGAAACUUGGGCUAAUACCGGAUAAGCCCUUACGGGGAAAGAUUCAUCGCCGAAGGAUCGGCCCGCGUCUGAUUAGCUAGUUGGUGGGGUAACGGCCCACCAAGGCGACGAUCAGUAGCUGGUCUGAGAGGAUGAUAAGCCUCACUGGGACUGAGGCACGGCCCAGACUCCUACGGGAGGCAGCAGUGGGGAAUAUUGGACAAUGGGCGCAAGCCUGAUCCAGCCAUGCCGCGUGGGUGAUGAAGGCCCUAGGGUUGUAAAGCCCUUUCGGCGGGGAAGAUAAUGACGGUACCCGCAAAAGAAGCCCCGGCUAACUUCGUGCCAGCCGCCGCCGUAA